rnacentral:rRNA from 1 species
CAAAUUUAAAAUCUACCUGGUUUYCAGGUCGAGUUGUAAUUUGAAGAUACGUUUUUGACGUUCCGGGUUGAACUAAAUCCUUUGGGAUAAGGUAUCAUGGAGGGUGAGAAUCCCGUAUAUACCAACCRUAGGGAUGUUAUUUAAUACGUUUCUAAGAGUCGAGUUGUUUGGGAAUGCAGCUCUAAAUGGGUGGUAAAUUUCACCUAAUGCUAAAUAUAAGCGAGAGACCGAUAGYGAACAAGUACAGUGAUGGAAAGAUGAAAAGAACUUUGAAAAGAGAGUUAAAUAGUACGUGAAAUUGUUGAAAGGGAAACGAUUGAAGUCAGUCAUGCCRGUGGGAAUCAACUUAGAGGAAACUCUGAGUGCACUUCUUCGCUUGGCAGGUCAACGUCGAUUUUGGAUGUCAUAAAAUGAUUGGGGGAAGGUAGCUCCUUCGGGAGUGUUAUAGCCCUUGGUAGAUGUGAUGUCUGGGAUCGAGGAUUGCAAUGGAUACCCUUUGGGGCUAGCCGCCUGAUCUCUAA